rnacentral:rRNA from 1 species
GAUGAACGCUAGCGGCAGGCUUAAUACAUGCAAGUCGAGGGGCAGCAUGAUUGUAGCAAUACAAUUGAUGGCGACCGGCAAACGGGUGCGGAACACGUACACAACCUUCCAACAAGUGGGGGAUAGCCCAGAGAAAUUUGGAUUAAUACCCCGUAACAUAGCGAUGUGGCAUCACAUUGCUAUUAUAGAUUUUUCGCUUGUUGAUGGGUGUGCGGCUGAUUAGAUAGUUGGCGGGGUAACGGCCCACCAAGUCUACGAUCAGUAGCUGAUGUGAGAGCAGGAUCAGCCACACGGGCACUGAGACACGGGCCAGGAGACUCCGCGAGGGAGCAGUAAGGAAUAUUGGACAAUGGACGCAAGUCUGAUCCAGCCAUGCCGCGUGAAGGAUUAAGGUCCUCUGGAUUGUAAACUUCUUGUAUAAGGGACGAAAAAAGGCUUUUCUAAGUCGUCUGACGGUACCUUAUGAAUAAGCACCGGCUAACUCCGUGCCAGCAGCCGCAGUAACAC